rnacentral:rRNA from 1 species
AGAGUUUGAUCCUGGCUCAGGACGAACGCUGGCGGCGCGCCUAACACAUGCAAGUCGAACGAGCGAGAGAGAGCUUGCUUUCUCAAGCGAGUGGCGAACGGGUGAGUAACGCGUGAGGAACCUGCCUCAAAGAGGGGGACAACAGUUGGAAACGACUGCUAAUACCGCAUAAGCCCACGGUGCCGCAUGGCACAGGGGGAAAAGGAGCAAUCCGCUUUGAGAUGGCCUCGCGUCCGAUUAGCUAGUUGGUGAGGUAAUGGCCCACCAAGGCAACGAUCGGUAGCCGGACUGAGAGGUUGAACGGCCACAUUGGGACUGAGACACGGCCCAGACUCCUACGGGAGGCAGCAGUGGGGAAUAUUGCACAAUGGGGGAAACCCUGAUGCAGCGACGCCGCGUGGAGGAAGAAGGUCUUCGGAUUGUAAACUCCUGUUGUUGAGGAAGAUAAUGACGGUACUCAACAAGGAAGUGACGGCUAACUACGUGCCAGCAGCCGCGGUAAAACGUAGGUCACAAGCGUUGUCCGGAAUUACUGGGUGUAAAGGGAGCGCAGGCGGGAAGACAAGUUGGAAGUGAAAUCUAUGGGCUCAACCCAUAAACUGCUUUCAAAACUGUUUUUCUUGAGUAGUGCAGAGGUAGGCGGAAUUCCCGGUGUAGCGGUGGAAUGCGUAGAUAUCGGGAGGAACACCAGUGGCGAAGGCGGCCUACUGGGCACCAACUGACGCUGAGGCUCGAAAGUGUGGGUAGCANACAGGAUUAGAUACCCUGGUAGUCCACACCGUAAACGAUGAUUACUAGGUGUUGGAGGAUUGACCCCUUCAGUGCCGCAGUUAACACAAUAAGUAAUCCACCUGGGGAGUACGACCGCAAGGUUGAAACUCAAAGGAAUUGACGGGGGCCCGCACAAGCAGUGGAGUAUGUGGUUUAAUUCGACGCAACGCGAAGAACCUUACCAAGUCUUGACAUCCUGCGACGGACAUAGAAAUAUGUCUUUCCUUCGGGACGCAGAGACAGGUGGUGCAUGGUUGUCGUCAGCUCGUGUCGUGAGAUGUUGGGUUAAGUCCCGCAACGAGCGCAACCCUUAUGGUCAGUUACUACGCAAGAGGACUCUGGCCAGACUGCCGUUGACAAAACGGAGGAAGGUGGGGAUGACGUCAAAUCAUCAUGCCCUUUAUGACUUGGGCUACACACGUACUACAAUGGCGUUAAACAAAGAGAAGCAAGACCGCGAGGUGGAGCAAAACUCAGAAACAACGUCCCAGUUCGGACUGCAGGCUGCAACUCGCCUGCACGAAGUCGGAAUUGCUAGUAAUCGCAGAUCAGCAUGCUGCGAUGAAUACGUUCCNCGGGCCAUUGUACACACCGCCCGU